rnacentral:rRNA from 1 species
UACGGAAGGCAGCAGUGGGGAAUAUUGCACAAUGGGCGAAAGCCUGAUGCAGCUAUGCCGCGUGUAUGAAGAAGGCCUUAGGGUCGUAAAGUACUUUCAUCGGGGAGGAAAAAACAAAACUAAUAAUUUUAUUUCUUGACGUUACCCGAAAAAGAAGCACCGGCUAACUCCGUGCCAGCAGCCGCGGUAAUACGGAGGGUGCUAGCGUUAAUCAGAAUUACUGGGCGUAAAGAGCACGUAGGUGGUUUUUUUAAGUCAGAUGUGAAAUCCCUGGGCUUAACCUAGGAACUGCAUUUUGAAACUGAAAUACUAGAGUAUCGUAGAGGGAGGUAGAAUUCUAGGUGUAGCGGUGAAAUGCGUAGAUAUCUGGAGGAAUACCUGUGGCGAAAGCGGCCUCCUAAACGAAUACUGACACUGAGGUGCGAAAGCGUGGGGAGCAAACAGGGAUUAGAUACC